CCUACGGGAGGCAGCAGUGGGGAAUAUUGCACAAUGGGCGCAAGCCUGAUGCAGCAACGCCGCGUGAGGGACGACGGCCUUCGGGUUGUAAACCUCUUUUAGUAGGGAAGAAGCGAAAGUGACGGUACCUGCAGAAAAAGCACCGGCUAACUACGUGCCAGCAGCCGCGGUAAUACGUAGGGUGCAAGCGUUGUCCGGAAUUAUUGGGCGUAAAGAGCUCGUAGGCGGUUUGUCGCGUCUGCUGUGAAAACCUGAGGCUCAACCUCAGACCUGCAGUGGGUACGGGCAGACUAGAGUGCGGUAGGGGAGAUUGGAAUUCCUGGUGUAGCGGUGGAAUGCGCAGAUAUCAGGAGGAACACCGAUGGCGAAGGCAGAUCUCUGGGCCGUAACUGACGCUGAGGAGCGAAAGCAUGGGGAGCGAACAGGAUUAGAUACCCUGGUAGUCCAUGCCGUAAACGUUGGGAACUAGAUGUAGGGACCAUUCCACGGUUUCUGUGUCGCAGCUAACGCAUUAAGUUCCCCGCCUGGGGAGUACGGCCGCAAGGCUAAAACUCAAAGGAAUUGACGG
rnacentral:rRNA from 1 species